GACGAACGCUGGCGGCGUGCUUAACACAUGCAAGUCGAACGGACAGGCCCUGCUUUUGUGGGGUGCUCGAGUGGCGAACGGGUGAGUAACACGUGAGUAACCUGCCCUUGACUUUGGGAUAACUUCAGGAAACUGGGGCUAAUACCGGAUAGGAGCUCCUGCUGCAUGGUGGGGAUUGGAAAGUUUCGGCGGUUGGGGAUGGAUUCGCGGCUUAUCAGCUUGUUGGUGGGGUAGUGGAUUACCAAGGCUUUGACGGGUAGCCGGCCUGAGAGCGGGAACGGGCACAAGGGGACUGAGAUACGGACCAGACUGCUACGGGAGGCAGCAGGGGGGAAUAUGGCAGAAUGGGCGGAAGCCUGAUGCAGCAACGCCGCGUGCGGGAUAACGGCCUUCUGGUUGUAAACCGAUGUGGCCUGUGACGAAGCGGGCGUGACGGUAAUGGGUAAAGAAGCAACGGCUAACUACGUG
rnacentral:rRNA from 1 species